rnacentral:rRNA from 1 species
UACGUAGGGUGCGAGCGUUAAUCGGAAUUACUGGGCGUAAAGCGUGCGCAGGCGGUUGUGCAAGACAGGUGUGAAAUCCCCGGGCUUAACCUGGGAACUGCACUUGUGACUGCACGGCUGGAGUGCGGCAGAGGGGGAUGGAAUUCCGCGUGUAGCAGUGAAAUGCGUAGAUAUGCGGAGGAACACCGAUGGCGAAGGCAAUCCCCUGGGCCUGCACUGACGCUCAUGCACGGAAGCGUGGGGAGCAAACAGG